GGUAAUGUUCUGACAACGCAUCGUGAUGGGGAUAGAUUAUUGGAAUUAUUAAUCUUCAACGAGGCAUUCCUAGUAAGCGCGAGUCAUCAGCUCGUGCUGAUUACGUCCCUGCCCUUUGUCCACACCUUCUCCGUCGCUCCGGAAUGACACGAUUGAUGUGAUCCG
rnacentral:rRNA from 1 species